rnacentral:tRNA from 1 species
GAGGGUGUAGCUCAGUGUAGAGCGCGUGCUCAGCGUGCACGAGGUCCUGGGUUCAAUCCCCAGCACCUCCA